CAAAGAUGAUUUUUAUUUCAUCCAAAUGGUUUUAUAGGUACACAAUGAUGAUGAGGUCAGAGCCUUGUUUAAGCAAGUGCAAGAAGUCCCUGGAUCUUCUAUAAUUAUUAUGAAGGUGGCAUCUCAGAGCUGACAUCUAGAGGAUCAGUUGCUCCGUGACAAGCAUGGCAACAUGGCAUCACUGCAAAGUCGAGACUGUAGCGUUCAAAGAAGGCACCAAAAGCUGAAUUAGGGAAGGAUGCCGGAGUUACAUGUACACAACCCUUAUUCUGCUAACUAUGGCUCUCUUUUGUUGAUCGCUUGCCUUUUGGAAGCUGUUGGCCUUUGGUUACCCCAAGGGGAAAUUUUCUGGCUUGCUUCACGGGCCGUAGCUCCUCCUUCCCCAACCCCACUUUGUCUCCCCUGUGAUUUGCCUGUUCCUGAUCUUAGUGGCUGGCAUGUCUCAAAUUUUCAUUGGGCAGGGCUACUAACGUAAAGGAGCAAACUGGAAAUUCCACCUGCAUAUUUUAGGCAAUUAUUCAUGUUUUGUAAACCCUUUGUGUGCAUAUGGUAAGCAUGAACUUGUCCCUGCAGCUCAUGAUAAGAGUAGGACCUUAAAUUCGCC
rnacentral:rRNA from 1 species